rnacentral:rRNA from 1 species
UACGGAGGAUGCGAGCGUUAUCCGGAUUUAUUGGGUUUAAAGGGUGCGUAGGCGGAAAUGUAAGUCAGUGGUGAAAUCCUGCAGCUUAACUGUAGAAUAGCCGUUGAAACUGUGUUCUUGAGUACAUUUGAGGUAGGCGGAAUGUGGUGUGUAGCGGUGAAAUGCAUAGAUAUACCACAGAACACCGAUUGCGAAGGCAGCUUACUAAACUGUCACUGACGCUGAUGCACGAAAGCGUGGGUAUCAAACAGGAUUA